CUCUGUGACUGGCUUGCUUGAUAGUUAGGGUCUGAUUGCUGCCUGAGACACCAUAUCGGUACUCCUCAGAGUUGAUGCAUAGUGUUCAUAUGAGGAGAGACUUUCCCUUGUCUCCGUCAUCUGUGAUUUCACUUCCCUGACAGAAGACGAAGCUUCCAUCUCAGAUGUUUUCUUAAAUGAUGAAACAGCAUACGCCUCUGUUCUUGUCAGCUCAGGGAAAACAGAUCUGGGGACCUCUUCAUCUCUGCGUCGGGAAGCAUAGGUGGUAUAAUCCCCUCCUGUUACGUCCAGCGUUGCAUAGUCAGAAGCUUCGCCCUUGUAGUUGGUGCACACAGCACGGUGAUCACAGGAUCUGGUUUGCCACUGAAAGGAAUCUUGAUGCUGACCACUUCACCUCGGAGAGCAUGAACUGCUCCCAUGCCUUCAAGAGUUUUAGAAUUUUAUGCAAAGAUGGAACUUUACCAUAGGAAGAUAUAGAAAUCGGGUUGUACUCACCAAAUGGACUCUUAAUGAUCACAACUGAGGACACUUCUAGAGGGUCACUGAUGCCGAAAAUGUUCUGAGCUGAAACCCGGAAGUAAUAGCCAGCAUUUUCUGUGAGGUUCACAAUUCUACAGGUUGUCACUGAGAUGGCU
rnacentral:antisense_RNA from 1 species